UACGGAGGGUGCAAGCGUUAUCCGGAUUCACUGGGUUUAAAGGGUGCGUAGGCGGGCAGGUAAGUCAGUGGUGAAAUCCUUGAGCUUAACUCGAGAACUGCCAUUGAUACUAUCUGUCUUGAAUAUUGUGGAGGUAAGCGGAAUAUGUCGUGUAGCGGUGAAAUGCUUAGAUAUGACAUAGAACACCUAUUGCGAAGGCAGCUUACUACGCAUAUAUUGACGCUGAGGCACGAAAGCGUGGGGAUCAAACAGG
rnacentral:rRNA from 1 species